rnacentral:lncRNA from 1 species
CAUUCCAACUCUGCCAUCAAGGAUCAUCGAUCAUCGAGAUGAUGCUCAUAGAUCUCACAAUCCAUCAGUGAUACCUAGCAGUAUGUAGUGACAACCCAAUAGAAUAAAAGGUGAUGAACCUCUAGGUGCAGUUAACGUAUGAUACAGUUCCUCUAUCGUGAGUCUCGACCAGAUGACAGGUCAUGGAUGAAUCGUCAAAUCUCAUCAUCGAUCAUAUGAUAGAUUUAAUUAGCUCGAAUCCAUGUAUGAUUCUCAUGAAAGCUCUUUUUCAUUAAUCACACUACAAUGACCAUAGACUUAAGGGCUCAACUUCUUAAAUUUCAUAGGACUACUCCCUUC